UGCCAGCAGCCGCGGUAACACCAGCGCCACGAGUGGGAACCACGUUUAUUUGGCCUAAAGCGUUCGUAGCCGGUUGAGUAAAUCUUCUGUGAAAUCGUUGUUCUUAAUGCAACGGCGUGCAGAAGACACUACUUGACUAGGAACCGGGAGGGGUUAGAAGUAUGCCAAGGGGAGCGGUAAAAUGCUACAAUCCUUGGUAGACUACCUUUGGCGAAGGCGUCUAACUAGAACGGGUUCGACGGUGAGGAACGAAAGCUAGGGGAGCGAUCCGGAUUAGAUA
rnacentral:rRNA from 1 species